AUUUUUGUAGUUUAAUUAAAACACUUUAUUUUCAUUAAAGAAAUAAGAACAUUCUUCAAAAGUA
rnacentral:tRNA from 2 species